UCAUCAAUCAAUUUGAAUAUGGAUUUGUAUGGAUCACAUCCAAUGUAUAUGGAUUUGAGAAAUGUGAAUGGUGAAGCUUAUGCUCAUGCAGUUUUGUUGAUGAAUAGUAAUGGUAUGGAUGUGUUCUAUAGAGGGGAUUCAUUGACAUACAAAGUGAUUGGGGGUGUUUUGGACUUUUACUUCUUCUCUGGGCCCACACCUCUUGCUGUUGUUGAUCAAUAUACUGAAUUUAUAGGAAGGCCUGCUCCUAUGCCCUAUUGGUCCUUUGGUUUUCAUCAAUGUAGAUGGGGUUACCAUAAUUUAUCUGUGAUUGAAGAUGUCAUUGCCAAUUACAAGAAAGCAAAAAUCCCUCUUGAUGUUAUAUGGAAUGAUGAUGAU
rnacentral:misc_RNA from 1 species